rnacentral:misc_RNA from 1 species
AACGCACGAGACCUGCGGACCUGCGGAGGGAUCAUUAAAGAGUUUAACUACUCAAACCAUUGUGAACCUUACCUCAACCGUUGCUUCGGCGGGCGGGCCCGGGCCAAGCCCGGCGCCCCCCCGGCCCCUCGCGGGCGCCCGCCGGAGGUUAACCGAACCCUUGAAUUGUAUGGCCUCUCUGAGUCUUCUGUACUGAAUAAGUCAAAACUUUCAGCAAUGGAUCUCUAGAUCGGAAGAGCA